rnacentral:rRNA from 1 species
UACGUAGGGUGCGAGCGUUAAUCGGAAUUACUGGGCGUAAAGCGUGCGCAGGCGGUUAUGCAAGACAGAUGUGAAAUCCCCGGGCUCAACCUGGGAACUGCAUUUGCGACUGCAUGGCUAGAGUGCGGCAGAGGGGGAUGGAAUUCCGCGUGUAGCAGUGAAAUGCGUAGAUAUGCGGAGGAACACCGAUGGCGAAGGCAAUCCCCUGGGCCUGCACUGACGCUCAUGCACGAAAGCGUGGGGAGCAAACAGG